rnacentral:lncRNA from 1 species
UGUACACGGUGCCCCAUUGGGAAGGCAGAUGGAAUUCACUCUUGAGAAUAAUGGUGCAGAUGAUGAAACCUAUACCAGCAUGUUCCAAAAUCAAACAAGUAGAGAACGCAAUGUAGAUUACUCUAAGCGGAGUGGUUUUGUGAACAUUCCUUCUUCACAAGGCAGUUCAUCCAGAGGCAAAGCUCUGGAUGCUAGUUCGUGGAAUGAAGUGACUGUAAAUACAACAAGAUCAUCAAGAGACAAAUGGGGAAAAAGACCUGCCUUUGCGGCACCAGGCACAACCACACGUAGCAAGACUGGUUGGCAGAUGGGAAAUGCCAACGAUCAUCUCCUAACUGAAGUUGACGAUGGCCCCAGAAAUGGGACAGUGGUACCAAUCAUUAAUGAAACUUCUGAGAGGGUAGCAGGGUCCGAUUCUAUUUCAACGCAAUCAAGAACUAGUGUACCAAAUGAUUUUGAUUCAUCACAAAUUGGCAUGCCUAAUCCAGUCUUUGCACCUUUUCUUAUUGGUUCGCCACAGCAGAGGCAAGUUGAUAACUCUGGACUGACUUUUGUUCCAACAGGUCCACCAGUUCCUUUUGUUGUCCUCCCUUUUGUUCCAGGGAAUAGUGAUGGUUCUGGUCCCCAGUUUGAGAGAAGCGAAGGAAUUGAUCAGCUUCCUGCCAAUAUUGCUGGUCAAAAUUUCAGUUUGCUCAAUGAUGUUCACCAACCAGAUUGUGGUGCCACCUCAACAGCAUCAAUCAAUACUAUGACUGAGCCAUCCGAGGAACACAAGCCUGACAUCUUGAACAGUGAUUUGAUUGGCCAUUGGCACAAUCUACAGUAUGGGCGACUCUGCCAGAAUGCUCGUCCCCUGGGUCCUGUUCUAUACCCUUUUCCGGUACCACCAAUGUAUUUGCAGGGCCAUGCUCCAUGGGAUGGGCCUGGAAGACCAGCUGCCCCAAAUGUUAACUGGACACAAAUGAUGGGUCCUGGUCAACGAGUAUUUCCUGUGAUGCCUCUGCAACCUGCUGCGGAACGAGGUACUGGCGUUCUCCAGCACUAUGGAGAAGAUGCACCUAGAUACCGUGGAGGCACAGGAACGUACUUGCCAAAUCCUGUAAGAACCUAAAAUAUCUUUCAGUCUCUUAUCUCGUGCGUAGACAACUUGUUAGUAAUACUAUAUUAAAAAAAUGAAAACUAAACAAGGUUGAUCAUUUAUUGAGCAUUGCACUUUGAUACAUGGUUAACUGAUACCAACACCGUCGCCCAUGUGGUGAUUUAGGCUUAAUUGAAGAUCGUAAGUCGUAACUAUUCAUUAGUUCUGUUGGAUUCUGCUAGGCCAAUCCAGUAAUAUUUGAAGUUUUAACUGGCUAAUAAGGUUUAUGAGUCUACCUGGUCAGAUUUGUGGGAAAGAUUCUCUUUAUGUCAUCAUGAAUAUCAUAGAGCUUGUGCUUCAUCGUAUAGACACAAGCAUUGAUCUGUUUACUAUCAGGUUGCUAGCUUUGAGUCGCUUACUGGUGAAAACAGUUCUGUGCUAGCUUGUCUUAACUAUUAAGUCAUUGUAGAUCGCUUUGAAGCUUGUAUGCUAGAAACAGUUUAGUCUGAACCAGCUGUAUUAUUAUCCUGAAGCUUGUAUGCUAGAAACAAUUUUGGCGUUUUUGAGCACUAUAAGAACGAUACACCUCAGAUAUUCACUGGAACCAUAGUCUUGAAAGUAUUCUGAGAUCGAACAGAAACAUGUUAAUCUUUCCAACAUAGUAUUCUUUCUUUGAAGGAUUUUUUUUUUAUUUGUAACCGUAUUUAGUCAACUUGAAGCUCAUGCGUUACCCACCAUCAGAGUGAAAUCAUAGCAUAGUAAGCUCAUGUGUCCCCUUCAUUGUAGCAACUUCAUAAAACAAAUGAUUACUACUCCCUCCAUAUGACAUUUAGGACAAAGUAGAAAUCAUUUUUUAACUAAUUAGCUUGUUCUAAAUGUCAUAUAUUUAAAAAUGGAGGGAGUACAAAGUAGAAAGCUAACGAGUUCUUUUCAUGACUAAUGAAUCAAGACAUUCGGAAUAUGGGUGCUGUAGGGUUUUCCUUACGGUAGUUCUACCUUCUUUUCCUCUGGUCACAGUGAUUUCUUUGUUACGCAAGAGAUAGAUUUAUUAAGCAAUGAUUUAUGAAAUUGAUAGUCUGGACUGCGAAAUACUAAGCUGUCAAUUCUGUGGCUUCUGUUCAGAAGGUUCCAUUUAGGGACCGGCACUCAAAUUCAAGAAACUACAGAGGAGGUUAUAAUGGUGACAGGAGUGACUACAGUGACAAGGAAGGAAGCUGGAUAAACUCAACACAACGAAAUCCAAAUCGCAGCUAUGGACGUAGCCAGUCGGAGAGGGCUGGCAUGAGGUCUGAUAGACAGGCCAAUGAUGAGAGUCAAUCUGAUAGGCAACGGCGAACUUACAGAAAUGACUCAUACAGGCAUGAGGCGAGCUCUCAAUAUCUUGUGCAGGGCCAAUCUUUUGGAUGCGCAAGCUCUAUGCGCAAACCAGGGAACGUUGCACAUGGGGUUUACACACCACAAUCAACAGCUUCAAAUGGUGCUGGUGCUUUAUCUGGCCCUCCAGGACCACCAUUUUUUAUGAUGUACUCGUAUGAACCUGGCGCAAAUCAUGGUCCAUCCACAUCUGAACCAAUUGAAUUUGGUUCUCUUGGGCCACUUCCUGCAGAAAAUGGUGAUGACAUACCACGGUCCACGCGCCAAGUAAUGCCUAAUGGGUUUUAUGGGCAAAGGCGUGGUCCAUAUAGGGGUGGUUCCUCUCAUUCCUCUCCUGAUCAACCGUCUUCACCUCAGCCUCGCAGGUAAUACUAUAAUCUUUGUUGAUCACAGUUUCUAUUUUUAAUGUUUAAGUAUGAGCAGUCUGAAAAAUCCAAAUCAUAACUGUAUAAGGAACUUUAUUUUAUCUGUGAAGAAACUUGUGAUUUCGAUAUAUAAGCAGAGUAAAUGCACGGUAAGCAGUUGCCACUUAAGUUACUUACCUAUAACUAAAAUUAAGUAAUUGACAGACAAUGAGGGACCGCUGAAAGGUCAAAUUCGUUAUGUUCUCAUGAGUUGAGAAAUCCGGCACAUGAAAUGAAAGUGCUGCCAUAUGCAGAUUUGAUAGGGUAAGCAGGAAUUGAAGAGAUAGUCUGCUUCGUAUUUCAUGUUGUUGACAGAAAAGAUGCAAGCCACAGAAAUAAUGUUCUAAAUUAUUUAAUUUAAUUUUCAUUCCUCAGUGGACCUUCCGGAGUUAAAAUAUUGACAGUAGAUCAUUCUGGCAUGGGUACUUCGUCACAUUAUUGUGAUGGUGAUAAUGACCAGUAACCUCAAGUCCUCAACUUCAUGCAUUAUGCAUGUGUGCUCAUUUUCUGUCACAUGUGGGCUAUGGCCUUCAUGAAAGUCCAAAGUAUUUACAAAGUGCAAGUGUGUUCAACUGAUGCCCAUAGCAGUUGGUAGUAAUUAGUAAAGUGGCUCCUGAUAUCCAGUCUCAAAGGUAGAAAUUAGUGUAUAACCACAUUAAACUAGCACCACAUCCGGGAGACCGGGGAUAUGCUUGCAAUGGGUAAUUGUGCCACCAGCUUUUCAAUUUGCUUCCAUGAAUUGAUCUAUGUAUUUACUUCUAAGUAUAUUCAGCAACAUUUGUUGUCACCAAGCUGAAAUUUAUGUUUCUGUUAACUUUCAAGGUAGUUGAAUGAUGGCAUGGUCACUUGGUUCUGGCAUUGAAGCCCUGAGAAUGCAAUAUUUUGCUCCGACACUCGUGACCAUGUCCUGCAUGGGUUCAGACGGUUGAGGCUAUCAGCAGCCAACAACAAAAGCAUGUUCCCUAGCUGGUUUUUAUGGUGCUGUCUGAUAUUUCACAAGCACUAAAUAGUGAAUACCAUCAAAAGUCUGGUGCUUUCUGAUAUCGCACAAGCAUUGGAAUAGCGGAUAGCAUCAAAAGAGACAUCAUCAUCGGCAGAUUAUUUUACCGGUCGCUUAUGAACUUUCCUGGAACCGAAGCAACAAUCUUCAGAACAAAUCGUGGAACUGUCAAGCCCAGAAAUCCAGAAUAUAUAUCUUCAUGCAGAAAUCAGAAUUGAACUAAGAUUAUGAGCAAGGAUGAAUUGAGUUCUGACCUUCUCAAGGAUAUGUUAUUAGGUUGAAUGGAACCGGAACAAGCAUUUCUUCGUCAAAAUCAAAUACAAUCUUGAUAAAGCAUUGGGUUUUACUACAAUUAUCGGGGCAUUAUAUGGCCAUGUGUAACUGAAAGCUAAUAAAGAGUUCUCGUUUCUAGGUAGGAUCAAGAUCAUGUAACACAUACAGCAAACUCUUCGCUUAAGUGUGCUAGAAGUUUAGAUUACCAAAUCUCGUGGUGUUUCUAACUGGAGGGACAUGGACACCAGGAUACUCUCACGCACGCGGAAAAAAAAUGAUCGUCUUUAUCGUCCUCUGUUCCAUAUGUGCGUUCAAUGUAUUGGGAUUCCCGCAUAUUUCCCUGCCUGGGCAUUCUGAUGGUGUGCUGUAUCGGGUAUACAGAGAUGUUGGCGGAUCCGUUUUGACUCUUGAGAACUUGAGUCGACAUGGAGUCCUGUAACAGUAAAACCUUGCAACAUUGCUUCAGUAACGCGCUUCCAGUUCUUCAAGGACCAGUGCAAUUUCAAGAAGUCGCGAUGCUGUGUCAAUGUCAACUUGCUGCUACAGCUACAGAUGCGUUUUACGUAUAGCGCAUACAUCUUAAGUUCUGAGCUCGCGUGAUGGUGGUGUACAUUCUCCUGAUGCUGCUUAAUGGCCUCUGAAAAAAUAUUUUCUUGGUGUACAUCCUGCCAUGGUAAUCAGGGUACCAUGAUGGGCUCCUGAAGCAAACGGGUUUACUUGUGCUUGGUGUUCCGGGACUUCUCGUUCAGGUCCUGCGUGGAGUUCUUGAACCUGUUAUCGAACUCGGCGUACUUCUGGUUCUCGGCUUGAGAGCGCAACAGCAAGAAAGAAAGGGUUUUCCAUCAGUCAAGAGGGACAGCGAGAGAGCUUUGCAGCAAGGACAAGUCCAUGGUGUUUACAUGAACUGAACAAGGUAACUGAGCGUCUGAGCACAGCAGCUGACCAUUCCAUUUAUCCAUGAACUCGAGCCGGGGAAUGUCGGGACCUGGCGUCGACUCCAACCCGGAGAAACCUGACAGGAUGCCGGCUCACUGUGCGAUUUGCAAAUACUAUGUUCCGGGCAUCGGCGUGGAAACGUCAAAAUGUUCAUCAAAUGCUCACCCGCAAUUCUUGUGGCCGCCCAGGUGCAGCACCUCUUCCCCGAUGCCUUCCUACCCGGCUACCCCCACGACCUCGGCCACGCCUCAGGACGCCGGAGGGCUCGGGGCCGGCACACCUCGGCGCUGGCGUUGCACGCGAGCCAGAGGCACAGAGGUGCACACAAGCCUCGCCACCACCGCCAAGACUUGCACAGCGCCGACGAACCCAUGAACGCUGGCGUGACGACGUGCUUCUGCAGGAGCUGGUCAAGCAUGGUGUGGAGGCCCACGACAAAGGCCUUGUGGCUCUUAUCGAUACCCAGCCAUGCGCCCAUGCCUAGACCUCGGCGGUCAGCUGCCGCAGCUCCUCCUCUAGCUUGACACAGCUGCAGCGGGCGCACUCUAGCUCAACACAGGUCGGGUGCAGCUCGAGGUACAAGCAGCUUCGAUGGCACACGAAGGUCGCUAAGCAACACCAAUCUGAUUUGCUCAUUUACAGCAGUAAUUUAGCUCUGCAGAAACUACAGACCUUGCAAGCAAUUCCUCGAGGAGCUGAUGGGCGUCGUCCAUGGCACCCUCGGCCGUUGUUUCUGGGUGCUUUCUGGGGCGCUCAGCACCAUAGGAGGCCACACACUGGGGCGCGGGGGAGCUACGCGUGUGCGCCUGUCAUGCGUCUUGGCACUGGCACGCACGGAUGCCAUGGCGCGCGGUGGGAUGAGGAUACCAGAGGACGGCCGCUUCACGCACGCAUCAGGAGCAGCAGCGGUGCCUCCACGAGCGGCGGGAAGAGGCGUUGACUCCAGCGACGGCGACGGUCGGCGGCGUCGGGAUGUAGAGGAGAACAGAAAAGGAAAAAGAAAAACUAGAGCUUGCUGCUGAGCGCGGAAAGCGCCUCUGCGCCGUUGCGGACAAACCCAAUGCCAAACCGCAAUUGCAUCGUGAUUCAUCAGGCGUGUAUACAACAGCAUCGGCAUGUAAAGUACAGGUCUUGAGAUGCACUGAAACACCGAAUAUCUCAUCUAUCUGGAAAAUGUGGGCACCAUCAAAAUGUAAAUUUUUCGCAUAGCUAAUUACACAAGACCACGUUUGGUCCGCAGACAGGUUGGCCAGACGCGGAUGGCCGCACAACACCACUUGCACUCUCUGCAGACGGAUAAUGGAGACUAGUCACCACAUCUUGGCCGAGUGCAGGUACACAAAGGAAAAUCUGGAAUCUAACGGCAACAUGGAUAGAGCAGCCAAACCUCAGGUCAAACGUAUGGCAACCCUCAUCCAACACACUGGAAUGGUGGACUUAUAUAACCACAGCACCGGAUUUACCGCGUAAGGCUCUGAGAAGCCCGACUCUACUCAUCAUGUGGGAGAUUUGGAAAGAACGGAAUGAACUCAUCUUCAAUUGACAUGAGAGCUCAACAACGACGUUGCUAGCGAAAAUCAAGGAGGAGGCAUCAGCUUGGUUACUGGCAGGGGCAAAAGACCUAGCGAGCGCGAGAGUAGCACGGCUAGUCGCUCGGCUGGCCCAUUUUUUCUUUGUUUCUCUCCUGUAAACUCCUGCUCUAUUAAUGAAAUAGGCACAAUCUCGUACCCGUUUGUUAAAAAAAUAAUUGCAACGUGGUGCCUAAGAAAACGAACCAAAUAGAAAAUUAGGCUAGGUACAUAGUAAUUACGUAGUUACUUAAUUAUAUUUCGCCGAAUAAUCUUAAACUAGCAUAUCUCAUUUAAACUAUCUUUUUCUAUUGUCGACCUCUAAAUAAAGAAAAAACUAUAACAUUUAUUUAAAGUGACUUCUUCACGUGCCUGCUAUCUUGGAAUGGGUAAGAUGAAAAAUGGCAACUCAACUGGCGCUAUCAUAUUGUACUAAGGUGAACGCAUCAACACGUGAAAAUGGUAAGUGUGGCUUAAUACCAUAUUAAAGUAGCAGCGUGUUUGAAAUGCUUGGUGGUGAGGUGGGCUGCUAAAGACGGGAUGGCGAAUGCAUUUAGUCUGAUUGAAAACACCACAUUGUAGCGAUCUAUUAGUGAUAUGGCUACGUUGCACUCCUAAUAGCAUCUACGAGACUACAAGAUGGAAAGUUGACGAGAAAAGAGGACAAAAUCAAGCUUAUCGGGUUUGAUCUGAAUAAUCUCUACCUAAUAUUAAAGUGUCGUGCAUUUCUUCCAACCGUCAUGGUCAUUUUGCAAAAAAUUCUGUCAUCUUUUUCUUAGUCAACCCGCAGUCCUGAGAGUUAAACCGUCAUAGUUCUUGACAAUUUCCAAAAAAGUCCCUUUCUUCCUCGCCUGCUGUGCGUUUCUGCAGCCAGCGCCCAGCGAUGUGUCCACGGCACGCGACCCCUCCUCCAUCCCCACGAAUCACUCAAAUCACCUCCGCAUGCGUGGUGCGUGCUGCCAUGGCCCAUGGGAGGUCGCGCUGGGAGAGAAGAGAGGUCGAAUCCUAGCCGCUGGAGUAUUUCGAUUCGUAUUCUCUGUCGUACCCAACAAAAACUUCUUUGAUUCGUACUCAAUAAGAACUUCUUUGAUUUGGUAUUUUUAUGAUCUAUUAUAAAUAGUGGAGAAUAGUUUAGGUGAGAUGUGAUACGUGUUCACAAAAGAGGAUCACGUCUUUUAAAAAUAGGGUCCAUUAAAUUAUAAUGUUCCAACUUGUAACCAUGUUCAGUAAAUUAUGAUCUAAUCUAUAUGACCUAGAAUUAAGAUUUAGAUGCGUGAUUAUAAGCUAGAAGUACCUCAGUACCGUACACUUUAAUUCAAUUGGCCGCGAAUUUCUCAAAAAUCAAAAAUCCCCAUUCCACAAGCAUUGAGCCAAGGCACUGCCCAUGUGGUCACGUCUCAUUGACGUAUUAGAGAUGUCGAGUCUGUUUGGUUGCUACACUAUGGUUGUCAACGUUUGCAAUAUUUUCUCGCCAAACUCGAAUAAGAUUAGCUCAUCAAAUUGUUUGCCAAAAUUUGACUGCUUUUCUUAGUCAGUGGAAUCAAGUGGUAGAAUUUGUUAAUACAACCAAACAACUGCUAAAACUUAAUCAAAUUUGUCUAAACUUAUGCUAGGGUAAAGUGUGUCAGGUUUUGACUUCAAACCAAACAGAUCCGUCGUAGAGGUCGGGUCGGCCGGCCGGCCUCUUCCCGGCACAUUCCCACGGCCCAAACCAAACACCGACCCGCACGUCUCCUCCUCCUCCCCUUUCCGGCUCUCCCCAGCUCAAUCAACCCUUCCGGCCUUCCCCUCCCCUCCUCCACGCCGACCACUCCCCUCCUCAUCGCCGCCGAUCACUCUCCCCACAACCGCAUCGAUCCAAAGCUCGCUCUAGGUUAUCCGCCCGUCCGCUUCCCGGGGCUCCACCGGCCCGGCUCGAUUCGCGCCGGGGGUGGCUGCUCCGUGCUCUGAGCCACCCGUCGCCGCUGUAGCCCGCUGCUGCGGGGAGUGCUCCGCGGUUGGCUGCCGCUGGUGUAGGGGUCCAGGGUUUUUCUCCGCCAAGCGGAGGGCGCAUGGGGAUGGUGCCCAACGGGCUCCUGCCGAAUGCGUCCACCGGGGUGACCCGGCGGCUCGACCCCGAGCGCUGGGCGGUCGCGGAGGGCCGCACUGCUGAGCUGAUCGCGCGCAUCCAGCCCAACGCACACUCCGAGGGCCGGAGACUGGCCGUGUACCACUACGUGCAGCGGCUCAUAAUGAACUGCCUCUCGUGCCAGGUACAGUAACUGCUUACCAAGUGACCCGAUUGCUACGGCAGGUAGUAAUAGGGAUUAGCUUUUGUCUGAAGGAGAACGCUCUUGUAUAUGGCUGUGAGGACUGCGCUGUGGGGAUGGAUAGAUGAGACUGCUGCUGAAGAACUGACUGGAGUAACGAUUGCUUAACAAAGAGGGUGCUAGACCAUAACCGAUGCUUUACUUUCUGUUUUUCAAAUGUUUGCCUGACAAACAGAAGCUGAUUCUGGAGAGAGAGCUCACUUGAGAUGGUGACUUAUGGUUACAGAAGAACAGGAGGGACCCUGAUCACCUAACACCCAUACUUCCGGUUCUGAUAUUUGACGAUCUGUUUAGAUGUAUUAGGUUUUCAUACAAUGGGAUGACUGGCAAAAAUUAAGCUGCGCAUUGGGGGAAGAGUAUGAAUGGAGAUCCUGGACAGUGUGUAAUCAAACUGUAUUUUCCUCUUUUUUUAUUGCAUUCCUAUGACACGGGGUGUUGCACACAUCCAGUACCCUGUUACUGAAGUUUUGUGGAACCACAGAACUAACCUCUGCCAAUAAUACGAUAUGAAGAACUUGCAUGUUUUAGCCAGAAGAGUUCUAGUAAUUUCUUUUUGAUAGUCAUAAAUCAGUAGCCAUAUGUGGAUGUCUGAAAAUUUUGGCUUGUCUGAUGGCAUGAGCAUUUGCUAUACAGCCUAGCUGGUGCAUCGAGAUACCACUUUUAUCUUAUUGCAUUCAUGUUUCUUGGAUGAUUGAAAAAGACAUUUCCAUAAGCCUUAUGCAUGUCAAGGGGAAUUUUACACUAGCAUUUCGGAAAUUCCUUGCUCUUGUCUUCAGUACUGAAUUAUCUUGUUGAUUAAAUGUGCUUCACAGAGAAUGAUCUCUUUGUAUCUACAGGUUUUUACCUUCGGGUCAGUCCCUCUCAAGACCUACUUACCUGAUGGUGACAUUGAUGUCACUGCUUUUAGUAAUAGUGAUGAAUUAAAGGAGAUUUGGGCAAAUCUUGUCCGGGAUGCGUUGGAGCGUGAAGAGAAGAGUGAAAAUUCUGAAUUUCAUGUAAAAGAAGUCCAGUAUAUUCAGGCAGAGGUAAUUUUCCCUGUUAUAAUUUCAGAGUGAUUUUUUUUCCUUUUGCUGUUGUAUAGGCAUCGGAAUUACCUCCAUACGAAAUUGGUCGUCUGCUAAUUGCUGUUGUAGAUAUUUGUGCAUUUUUCUACAAACUUGGUCAAAGCUACAGAAGUUUGACUUAGGAUAAAGCUAGAAUGACUUAUAAUUUGUAACAGAGGGAGUACGUACAUAUAGUAGAGUUUCAUUAGCAUUGUACCUUCAUUUAUGACAUUACGAUUGUGUGAAGUUAUUACCAGAAGUUGCCUAUUGUACUUUGUGCUAUAUGAAUUGAGGCAGAACAGAAACGAAUACAAGAUCUUAAGUUAAACUUCAGUUUAGUAAUAUGGCCAUUGCUCUUUCACUCAGUUCUAUGCACCAUAUGGUGUGGCCAAAUAGCUGAAGUCUAAUCUAUUAGUAUCGUUUAGGAGGAUUAUGCAUCUGAAGACACUUCUAGCAUCCUUCUAAGUACACAAAUAUGUAUCCAGUGUCAUUUUAUCGCUGAUCGCUCUCCUCUUGUAUCUUCUUUUGGGAAUAUGUCACCGUUAAUGAUUUGGCACUUUUAUUUUAUUCUCCACUCAUUUGUAUCCUCGUAUGUUUUAUGUAUCAUGCAUAGGUCAAGAUUAUUAAGUGUCUUGUGGAAAACAUUGCUGUCGACAUCUCAUUUAAUCAAGUUGGUGGACUAUGUACACUUUGUUUUCUUGAAGAGGUAUGUUCUUAUUUUCGAAGUCUAGCUUAAUUUGUAUAUCCAGACAAUGUGCUUGAAAUUUUACCAUUUAUAUCUUGUACGGUAAGGAACUUAUAUUGACUUGAUAGCUGUGCUUAUUGCAUAUAGCACCUGGUUCAGAUAUGCUUGAUUUUUUUUUGAAACUGAUGCUUGAUUUUUUUUUGCCCGUACCACCUUGUAAUGAUUCUGCAUUCUAAACUUCUAAUAGAUCGACAACUUGAUCAGUCGAAAUCAUUUAUUCAAGCGGAGUAUCAUAUUGAUAAAGGCAUGGUGUUACUUUGAAAGUCGUAUUCUUGGAGCUCACCAUGGUCUUAUAUCUACUUACGCAUUGGAGACGUUGGUUCUGUACAUAUUUCAUAUAUUCAACAAUUCUUUUACUGGACCUCUUGAGGUGACUUACUCUCUUGUCUUUGAUUUUUCUAUUUGUGCAUGUGAAGGUGACUUACUCUAUUGUCUUUGAUUUUUCUAUUUGUGCAUUUGCAGGUUAUGUACCGUUUCUUAGAAUUUUUCAGCAACUUUGAUUGGGAGAAAUUUUGUUUGAGCUUGCGGGGCCCAGUUCCUAUAAGUUCACUUCCAGAUAUGACUGGUAAUCUAUACGUAUAACUUUAUUUUGAUAAAUCCAUGAUUGAUUAAAAAUGGUCCUUUCUAUCAUUCAUGUUAUGUCAUGCAGCGGAACCUCCGCGGAUGGACAGUGGUGAAUUAUUGCUGGACAAGUCCUUCCUGGAUACCUGUAGCACUGCAUAUGGAGUUGUGCCUCGCACCCAGGAGAAUCAGGGUCGACCAUUUGUUUCCAAACACUUCAAUAUUAUUGAUCCUUUACGUGCAAACAACAAUCUCGGAAGAAGUGUCAGCAAAGGUAACUAUGGACCUACUUUAAGAUCAUCUUACAGGUGAAAAGAACAGAGUAAAAAUUCUUUGGCUUCACCUAUUUCCGAGCAAUUGAUGGUAUACUGUGGUUGAUUUAAUGCUUUUUUGAACGGGAUUUCUAUGAUAUCCGCAAUACAUUCACUGUUGGUAAUUGGUUGCUAGUUUGUCUCCUUGUGAAAUGUUAGCAUUCUACUGAUAUAUGCAUAUAAAGUGACCAACAAAUCAAACCACUAAUGAUAAGAACUUCAUUCUUUGCGACCUGUAAUAGGACCUCCUUGAGCAGUGUUGGGAUAGCCAUACCUGCCAUACUUCUAUUCAUUCUUACAAUGUUGAGUAUGUGGUAAUUAAGAGCAGCAAUUAAUUUUACUUUGAUUGUCUGGCACUUAAAUAUCAUAAAUUUUUCGUUGGUGUGUAAUCUUUUAUCUUAUUGGCCAUUGAAUGCUAAUGAUAGAUUCAGUCUCUUAAUAACAUUCAUGUGUUUGAUACAAUAAUUUUUCCUCCUUGUGCUGUAUACUCUGAAAAGUACCCUCAUCAAUAUUUUUAUCUUUUUGGCAGUUCGAUGCUAAUGAUAGGUUCAAUCUCUUAAGAAGGUUCAAGUAUAUGGAUUGGAUGACUACCACUGUUUUGGUUAUGUUCAGUGAAAAGUUUGAUCUCUACAAGAACAACAAAAAUACAUCACCUGUUGAGUUGAUCUUUUUUAUAUUUUGCAGGCAAUUUCUUUAGAAUACGCAGUGCUUUUGCAUAUGGAGCGAAAAGGCUGGGAAAGUUACUUGAAUGUCCAAAAGAAGAUUUAAUUACUGAAUUGAAUCAGUUCUUCACAAAUACAUGGAUAAGACAUGGGAGUGGAAAUCGUCCUGAUGUGCAGCCUCUGAAAGUUGUUCCUUCUGUAGCGUCGAACAGUGACAGCAACCACAACACCAAAUCUUCACAGGAUGAAUCAGUGUCUUCCUUGAGCAGUUCAUCUCACCCUAGUGCAAAGGCAGUUUCUGACUCAAAUAGUGUUUCGAGCAGCUAUCGUGAAGAUAAUGGUUGUGUGAUGAACGAAGAACGUCCUUCUGUCUCUGAAUCAUCAGAUAUGCGCCAUGAUGAACAAGUUCUGGCCAAUUUAAUGGAUUCCGUGAAGUUGCAUGGAUCCAAUGAACAGAUUCAAUUGCCAAUGCAAAUAUCUUCUCAUCUGUCUGUAGCACAUUCCCCUUUAUUGGCUCCAAUAGCUUUUUCACAAAAGCACUUGGCUGGGGUUCAACCACCUAACUUAGUUGGGGCACCAUGGUUGCCCAAUAUGCAGUUCCUCCAUGGAUUUGUUACACCAACCCAAUACAUACACAAUCCAAAUUUGGCACCAAAUGUUGAAGAUGGCAGUGAGAAUGAGAAGCCUAUUACAUCGGAUGCAAACCAUGAUACUGACAAAACUUGGCAUCAGUAUGGUAUUGGAUAUUCUAGACAAUUUGAUCCUGAAGUGAGAGAUCCUCGCAUCUAUGAUAUUGAUGGGAAGGAACGUCCUUCUUUUCCUAAUGGUGUACACGGUGCCCCCUUGGAAAGGCAUAUGGAAUUCACUCAUGAGAAUAAUGGUGCAGAUGAUGAAACCUAUAACAGCAUGUUCCAGAAUCAAACAAGUAGAGAAGGCAAUGUAGAUUACUCUAAGAGGAGUGGUUGUGUGAACGCUUCGCAUGGCAGUUCAUCCAGAGGCAAAGCUCUGGAUGCUAGUUCAUGGGAUGAAGUUUCUGUAAAUACA